rnacentral:rRNA from 1 species
GACGAGGGGUCCUAGCGUUGUUCGGAAUCAUUGGGCGUAAAGCGUGUGUAGGCGGCCUUGUAAGUCAGUUGUGAAAGCCCCGGGCUUAACCCGGGAAGUGCUUCUGAUACUGCAAGGCUUGAGUACUGGAGAGGAUAGUAGAAUUCCAGGUGUAGUGGUGAAAUACGUAGAUAUCUGGAGGAAUACCGGUGGCGAAGGCGGCUAUCUGGCCAUGUACUGACGCUGAGACACGAAAGCGUGGGGAGCAAACAGG